CGGGCGUCUUAACAUGCAAGUCGAACGAAGAGCGACGGAAGCUUGCUUCUAUCAAUCUUAGUGGCGAACGGGUGAGUAACGCGUAAUCAACCUGCCCUUCAGAGGGGGACAACAGUUGGAAACGACUGCUAAUACCGCAUACGAUCUAAUCUCGGCAUCGAGGAUGGAUGAAAGAUGGCCUCUACAUGUAAGCUAUCACUGAAGGAGGGGAUUGCGUCUGAUUAGCUAGUUGGAGGGGUAACGGCCCACCAAGGCGAUGAUCAGUAGCCGGUCUGAGGGGAUGAACGGCCACAUUGGGACUGAGACACGGCCCAGACUCCUACGGGAGGCAGCAGUGGGGAAUCUUCCGCAAUGGACGAAAGUCUGACGGAGCAACGCCGCGUGAGUGAUGACGGCCUUCGGGUUGUAAAGCUCUGUUAAUCGGGACGAAAGGCCUUCUUGCGAAUAGUGAGAAGGAUUGACGGUACCGGAAUAGAAAGCCACGGCUAACUAC
rnacentral:rRNA from 1 species